AGUGAACGCUGGCGGUAGGCCUAACACAUGCAAGUCGAACGGCAGCACAGUAAGAGCUUGCCCUUACGGGUGGCGAGUGGCGGACGGGUGAGGAAUACAUCGGAAUCUACUUUUUCGUGGGGGAUAACGUAGGGAAACUUACGCUACUACCGCAUACGACCUACGGGUGAAAGCAGGGGAUCUUCGGACCUUGCGCGAUUGAAUGAGCCGAUGUCGCAUUAGCUAGUUGGCGGGGUAAAGGCCCACCAAGGCGACGAUCCGUAGCUGGUCUGAGAGGAUGAUCAGCCACACUGGAACUGAGACACGGUCCAGACUCCUACGGGAGGCAGCAGUGGGGAAUAUUCGGCAAUGGGCGCAAGCCUGAUCCAGCCAUACCGCGUGGGUGAAGAAGGCCUUCGGGUUGUAAAGCCCUUUUGUUGGGAAAGAAAAGCAGCAGGUUAAUCCCCCGCUGUUCUGACGGUACCCAAAGAAUAAGCACCGGCUAACUUCGUG
rnacentral:rRNA from 1 species